GGGUGUUCUGAAGACCUGCUUUCUAGGCCACGUGCUGAGGACGCUCGUUCCUCUCGGGCCGCGCGCCCGCCUAGGGGAAAGUCCCCGGACCCCGGGCAGAGAGUGCCGCGUGCUCCGGCGCGCUGUAACCUGUCUCGCUGGCUCCGCGUAACACACCGCCAAGACGCCCCCGGGCGGAGCGGGGAGCUGGGACAAGGCGCCCGUCAGUCCCAUAGGAACGCAGGUGGUGCCGCCCGACCGCACCAACACAACGGGGCUCACUCUCAGAACACC
rnacentral:RNase_MRP_RNA from 2 species